UGUAGGCCAAGGUGUAUAUAUUUAGAAGGUGAAUUUUUGUCGAUUUGGCAGGUAGACAUUUUGGAUUUUGGCCGGUCGAGAAACUUCAAAGUUUGUUUACUUAAUCAUAUGGUUUGGGACUACCAAAAUAAACAAACAUAAAGCAUCGUUUUUCGGUUCAGUAAACCAAGUUUCUACAUUUAUCAUCGUCGUUGCACAUAGCACUGAAGAUAAACAGUUCCUUUACCAGCUCUAAAAAGAAAUUUGCGUGACGUUGUUUUCUUCAUACAGCUACCAAAGGCUUAUCGGACGUAUCGAAUUACGGCAUACCACUCGAUAAAAUUACACUGGUAGAUUAAGUGAAGCUGUUCGAUUCUCGUGCUAAGUACCAUAAAUUACAAGGAAUAGGAUAGAAUUGUGCCGCAUCCACCUCGAAACCCUUAUCUUUCGUACCCGUCAGGCGUAUAAUGCUUCACUGGAUAGCAUUAGCAAUUAUGCGUAGAUUGUUCGGAAAGUUUCACUAUGAUUUGAAAGCACCAGCACCACCAGUGCGUGGACCGUAAAGUAUCAGUAUCAUGAUGUGCUGCCUCCACUGGAUCCAGGUAAGGACUCCAUCGAUCAUCGGUGUAAGAACGUUUAUAUUGAAUGA